rnacentral:rRNA from 1 species
GACGUAGGGCGCGAGCGUUGUCCGGAUUUAUUGGGCGUAAAGAGCUCGUAGGCGGCUUGUCGCGUCGUCCGUGAAAACCUGCGGCUCAACUGCAGGCUGGCGGUCGAUACGGGCAGGCUGGAGUUCGGUAGGGGAGAGUGGAAUUCCUGGUGUAGCGGUGAAAUGCGCAGAUAUCAGGAAGAACACCAAUGGCGAAGGCAGCUCUCUGGGACGGUACUGACGCUGAGACGCGAAAGCGUGGGGAGCGAACAGG